AUUUAGCUAUACCAGACUGAAUAAAUCUGAUUUUGUUGGAUCUUGGAAGCUAAGCAGCCCUGGACCUGGCUAAUUUUUGGAUAGGAGGCCACCUUAGAAUCCCAGGCACCAUACAUU
ensembl:rRNA 5S_rRNA 5S ribosomal RNA